GAAGUUCUAGAAACAAAACUUUCUAGUAAAUCCAGUACACCUUACUUAAAGGAUUGGCACGACUAUGUUUCCAAGCUUAGUGCUGUCCUUUUCACUUUCCUUCUUUCACCAGAAGAUGCAAAGGCAGAUAAAAGCCAAGCAUCCACUGUAAAAAGUAGCUUGCCAGUCUCUUCAGCAUAUGGAGAACUUUCUGUAAAGUGGAUCAUUAGAGUUCUCCUCACAGUCUUUCCAUGCAUAAAAGCAUGCUCAAAUCAGAAGGAGCUGCCUGGUCACUU
rnacentral:misc_RNA from 1 species